rnacentral:tRNA from 1 species
GCAGGUGUGCUGGAAUGGCAGACAGACUUCGUUUAGGCCGGAGGGGUUAACACCGUGCAAGUUCAAGUCUUGCUACCUGUA